UAGAGUUUGAUCNUGGCUCAGGAUGAACGCUGGCGGCGUGCCUAAUACAUGCAAGUCGAGCGAACAGAUAAGGAGCUUGCUCCUUUGAAGUUAGCGGCGGACGGGUGAGUAACACGUGGGUAACCUACCUAUAAGACUGGGAUAACUUCGGGAAACCGGAGCUAAUACCGGAUAACAUUUAGAACCGCAUGGUUNUAAAGUGAAAGAUGGUUUUGCUAUCACUUAUAGAUGGACCCGCGCCGUAUUAGCUAGUUGGUAAGGUAACGGCUUACCAAGGCGACGAUACGUAGCCGACCUGAGAGGGUGAUCGGCCACACUGGAACUGAGACACGGUCCAGACUCCUACGGGAGGCAGCAGUAGGGAAUCUUCCGCAAUGGGCGAAAGCCUGACGGAGCAACGCCGCGUGAGUGAUGAAGGGUUUCGGCUCGUAAAACUCUGUUAUUAGGGAAGAACAAAUGUGUAAGUAACUGUGCACUCCUUGUACGGUACCUANCCAAAAGCCACGGCAA
rnacentral:rRNA from 1 species